rnacentral:rRNA from 1 species
GACGAACGCUGGCGGCGUGCCUAAUACAUGCAAGUCGAACGCACAGUUUAUACCGUAGCUUGCUACACCAUAGACUGUGAGUUGCGAACGGGUGAGUAACGCGUAGGUAACCUGCCUGGUAGCGGGGGAUAACUAUUGGAAACGAUAGCUAAUACCGCAUAAUAUUAAUUAUUGCAUGAUAAUUAAUUGAAAGGUGCAAUUGCACCACUACCAGAUGGACCUGCGUUGUAUUAGCUAGUAGGGGAGGUAACGGCUCACCUAGGCGACGAUACAUAGCCGAACGGAGAGGGUGAUCGGCCACACUGGGACGGAGACACGGCCCAGACUCCUACGGGAGGCAGCAGUAGGGAAUCUUCGGCAAUGGACGAAAGUCUGACCGAGAAACGCCGCGGGAGUGAAGAAGGUUUUCGGAUCGUAAAGCUCUGUUGUAAGAGAAGAACGGGUGUGAGAGUGGAAAGUUCACACUGUGACGGUAUCUUACCAGAAAGGGACGGCUAACUACGUG